rnacentral:rRNA from 1 species
UGACGAGGUCCUCGGACCGAAGUAGUCGAUGCCCUGCUUCCAAGAAAAGCCCCUAAGCAUCAGGCUGUCGCCACCCGUACCCAAACCGACACAGGUGGGCGAGGAGAGUAUCCUCAGGCGCUGGAGAGAACUCGGGUGAAGGAACUCGGCAAACUAGCACCGUAACUUCGGGAGAAGGUGCACCCGCAGUAGGUGAACGCCCUCGCGGCGGAAGCCCAAGCGGGUCGCAGUGACCAGGUGGCUGCGACUGUUUACUAAAAACACAGCACUCUGCCAACACGAAAGUGGACGUAUAGGGUGUGACGCCUGCCCGGUGCCGGAAGGUUAAGUGAUGGGGUUAGCGCAAGCGAAGCUCUGGAUCGAAGCCCCGGUAAACGGCGGCCGUAACAAUAACGGUCCUAAGGUAGCGAAAUUCCUUGUCGGGUAAGUUCCGACCUGCACGAAUGGCGUAACGAUAGCCACACUGUCUCCACCCGGGGCUCCGUGAAAUUGAAUUCGCUGUGAAGAUGCAGCGUACCCGCGGCAAGACGGAAAGACCCCGUGAACCUUCACUAUAGCUUUGCACUGACUGUUGAGCCUUCUUGUGUAGGAUAGGUGGGAGGCCUUGAAGCCGGAACGCCAGUUCCGGUGGAGCCACCCUUGAAAUACCACCCUGGAAUGCUUGAGAGUCUAACCUCGAACCUGAAACGGGUUCAGGGACCGUGCAUGGUGGGUAGUUUGACUGGGGCGGUCUCCUCCCAAAGAGUAACGGAGGAGCGCGACGGUACCCUCAGCGCGGUCGGAAAUCGCGCAGUGCGUGCAAAGGCAUAAGGGUGCUUGACUGCGAGACGGACAGGUCGAGCAGGGGCGAAAGCCGGUCUUAGUGAUCCGGUGGUUCCGUAUGGAAGGGCCAUCGCUCAACGGGUAAAAGGUACUCCGGGGAUAACAGGCUGAUACCGCCCAAGAGUCCCUAUCGACGGCGGUGUUUGGCACCUCGAUGUCGGCUCAUCACAUCCUGGGGCUGUAGUCGGUCCCAAGGGUAUGGCUGUUCGCCAUUUAAAGUGGUACGCGAGCUGGGUUUAGAACGUCGUGAGACAGUUCGGUCCCUAUCUGCCGUGGGCGUUGGAGCGUUGCGGGGAGCUGUUCCUAGUACGAGAGGACAGGAAUGGACAGACCUCUGGUGUACCGGUUGUCACGCCAGUGGCAUCGCCGGGUAGCUACGUCCGGACGGGAUAACCGCUGAAAGCAUCUAAGCGGGAAGCCCCCCCCAAGAUUAGCGCUCCCGAGUCCUUUGCGACUCCUGAAGGUUCGUUGAAGACCACAACGUCGAUAGGCGUGGCGGUGGACGCGCAGUAAUGCGUGCAGCCGACCCGUACUAAUCAACCGUGCGGCUUGACCCG